rnacentral:rRNA from 1 species
GGGUUGUGAGGUUAAGCGACUAAGCGUACACGGUGGAUGCCCUGGCAGUCAGAGGCGAUGAAGGACGUGCUAAUCUGCGAUAAGCGUCGGUAAGGUGAUAUGAACCGUUAUAACCGGCGAUUUCCGAAUGGGGAAACCCAGUGUGAUUCGUCACACUAUCAUUAACUGAAUCCAUAGGUUAAUGAGGCGAACCGGGGGAACUGAAACAUCUAAGUACCCCGAGGAAAAGAAAUCAACCGAGAUUCCCCCAGUAGCGGCGAGCGAACGGGGAGCAGCCCAGAGCCUGAAUCAGUGUGUGUGUUAGUGGAAGCGUCUGGAAAGGCGCGCGAUACAGGGUGACAGCCCCGUACACAAAAAUGCACAUGCUGUGAGCUCGAUGAGUAGGGCGGGACACGUGGUAUCCUGUCUGAAUAUGGGGGGACCAUCCUCCAAGGCUAAAUACUCCUGACUGACCGAUAGUGAACCAGUACCGUGAGGGAAAGGCGAAAAGAACCCCGGCGAGGGGAGUGAAAAAGAACCUGAAACCGUGUACGUACAAGCAGUGGGAGCACGCUUAGGCGUGUGACUGCGUACCUUUUGUAUAAUGGGUCAGCGACUUAUAUUCUGUAGCAAGGUUAACCGAAUAGGGGAGCCGAAGGGAAACCGAGUCUUAACUGGGCGUUAAGUUGCAGGGUAUAGACCCGAAACCCGGUGAUCUAGCCAUGGGCAGGUUGAAGGUUGGGUAACACUAACUGGAGGACCGAACCGACUAAUGUUGAAAAAUUAGCGGAUGACUUGUGGCUGGGGGUGAAAGGCCAAUCAAACCGGGAGAUAGCUGGUUCUCCCCGAAAGCUAUUUAGGUAGCGCCUCGUGAAUUCAUCUCCGGGGGUAGAGCACUGUUUCGGCAAGGGGGUCAUCCCGACUUACCAACCCGAUGCAAACUGCGAAUACCGGAGAAUGUUAUCACGGGAGACACACGGCGGGUGCUAACGUCCGUCGUGAAGAGGGAAACAACCCAGACCGCCAGCUAAGGUCCCAAAGUCAUGGUUAAGUGGGAAACGAUGUGGGAAGGCCCAGACAGCCAGGAUGUUGGCUUAGAAGCAGCCAUCAUUUAAAGAAAGCGUAAUAGCUCACUGGUCGAGUCGGCCUGCGCGGAAGAUGUAACGGGGCUAAACCAUGCACCGAAGCUGCGGCAGCGACGCUGAUGCGUUGUUGGGUAGGGGAGCGUUCUGUAAGCCUGCGAAGGUGUGCUGUGAGGCAUGCUGGAGGUAUCAGAAGUGCGAAUGCUGACAUAAGUAACGAUAAAGCGGGUGAAAAGCCCGCUCGCCGGAAGACCAAGGGUUCCUGUCCAACGUUAAUCGGGGCAGGGUGAGUCGACCCCUAAGGCGAGGCCGAAAGGCGUAGUCGAUGGGAAACAGGUUAAUAUUCCUGUACUUGGUGUUACUGCGAAGGGGGGACGGAGAAGGCUAUGUUGGCCGGGCGACGGUUGUCCCGGUUUAAGCGUGUAGGCUGGUUUUCCAGGCAAAUCCGGAAAAUCAAGGCUGAGGCGUGAUGACGAGGCACUACGGUGCUGAAGCAACAAAUGCCCUGCUUCCAGGAAAAGCCUCUAAGCAUCAGGUAACAUCAAAUCGUACCCCAAACCGACACAGGUGGUCAGGUAGAGAAUACCAAGGCGCUUGAGAGAACUCGGGUGAAGGAACUAGGCAAAAUGGUGCCGUAACUUCGGGAGAAGGCACGCUGAUAUGUAGGUGAAGUCCCUCGCGGAUGGAGCUGAAAUCAGUCGAAGAUACCAGCUGGCUGCAACUGUUUAUUAAAAACACAGCACUGUGCAAACACGAAAGUGGACGUAUACGGUGUGACGCCUGCCCGGUGCCGGAAGGUUAAUUGAUGGGGUCAGCGCAAGCGAAGCUCUUGAUCGAAGCCCCGGUAAACGGCGGCCGUAACUAUAACGGUCCUAAGGUAGCGAAAUUCCUUGUCGGGUAAGUUCCGACCUGCACGAAUGGCGUAAUGAUGGCCAGGCUGUCUCCACCCGAGACUCAGUGAAAUUGAACUCGCUGUGAAGAUGCAGUGUACCCGCGGCAAGACGGAAAGACCCCGUGAACCUUUACUAUAGCUUGACACUGAACAUUGAGCCUUGAUGUGUAGGAUAGGUGGGAGGCUUUGAAGUGUGGACGCCAGUCUGCAUGGAGCCGACCUUGAAAUACCACCCUUUAAUGUUUGAUGUUCUAACGUGGACCCGUAAUCCGGGUUGCGGACAGUGUCUGGUGGGUAGUUUGACUGGGGCGGUCUCCUCCUAAAGAGUAACGGAGGAGCACGAAGGUUGGCUAAUCCUGGUCGGACAUCAGGAGGUUAGUGCAAUGGCAUAAGCCAGCUUGACUGCGAGCGUGACGGCGCGAGCAGGUGCGAAAGCAGGUCAUAGUGAUCCGGUGGUUCUGAAUGGAAGGGCCAUCGCUCAACGGAUAAAAGGUACUCCGGGGAUAACAGGCUGAUACCGCCCAAGAGUUCAUAUCGACGGCGGUGUUUGGCACCUCGAUGUCGGCUCAUCACAUCCUGGGGCUGAAGUAGGUCCCAAGGGUAUGGCUGUUCGCCAUUUAAAGUGGUACGCGAGCUGGGUUUAGAACGUCGUGAGACAGUUCGGUCCCUAUCUGCCGUGGGCGCUGGAGAACUGAGGGGGGCUGCUCCUAGUACGAGAGGACCGGAGUGGACGCAUCACUGGUGUUCGGGUUGUCAUGCCAAUGGCACUGCCCGGUAGCUAAAUGCGGAAGAGAUAAGUGCUGAAAGCAUCUAAGCACGAAACUUGCCCCGAGAUGAGUUCUCCCUGACCCUUUAAGGGUCCUGAAGGAACGUUGAAGACGACGACGUUGAUAGGCCGGGUGUGUAAGCGCAGCGAUGCGUUGAGCUAACCGGUACUAAUGAACCGUGAGGCUUAACCUUACAACGCCGAAGCUGUU